AUUGAACGCUGGCGGCAGGCCUAACACAUGCAAGUCGAGCGGAUGAAGGGAGCUUUCUCCUGGCUUCAGCGGCGGACGGGUGAGUAAUGCCUAGGAAUCUGCCUGGUAUUUGGGGAUAACGUCCCGAAACGGGCGCUAAUACCGCAUCCGUCCUGAUGGAGAAAGGGGGGGAUCUUCGGACCUCACGCUAUCAGCUGAGCCUAGGUCGGAUUAGCUAGUUGGUGGGGUAAGGGCCUACCAAGGCGACGAUCCGUAACUGGUCUGAGAGGAUGAUCAGCCACACUGGAACUGAGACACGGUCCAGACUCCUACGGGAGGCAGCAGUGGGGAAUAUUGCACAAUGGGCGAAAGCCUGAUGCAGCAAUGCCGCGUGUGUGAAGAAGGUCUUCGGAUUGUAAAGCACUUUAAGUUGGGAGGAAGGGCAGUAAGUUAAUACCUUGCCGUCUUGACGGUACCAAAAGAAAAAGCAACGGCUAACUUCGUG
rnacentral:rRNA from 1 species